rnacentral:rRNA from 1 species
GUAACACGUGAGCAACCUGCCCUAGGCUUUGGGAUAACCCCGGGAAACCGGGGCUAAUACCGAAUAGGACCACCGGUCGCAUGGUUGGUGGUGGAAAGUUUUUCGGCCUGGGAUGGGCUCGCGGCCUAUCAGCUUGUUGGUGGGGUGAUGGCCUACCAAGGCGACGACGGGUAGCCGGCCUGAGAGGGCGACCGGCCACACUGGGACUGAGACACGGCCCAGACUCCUACGGGAGGCAGCAGUGGGGAAUAUUGCACAAUGGGCGGAAGCCUGAUGCAGCGACGCCGCGUGAGGGAUGACGGCCUUCGGGUUGUAAACCUCUUUCAGCAGGGACGAAGCGUAAGUGACGGUACCUGCAGAAGAAGCGCCGGCCAACUACGUGCCAGCAGCCGCGGUAAGACGUAGGGCGCGAGCGUUGUCCGGAUUUAUUGGGCGUAAAGAGCUCGUAGGCGGCUUGUCGCGUCGACUGUGAAAACCCGCAGCUCAACUGCGGGCCUGCAGUCGAUACGGGCAGGCUAGAGUUCGGUAGGGGAGACUGGAAUUCCUGGUGUAGCGGUGAAAUGCGCAGAUAUCAGGAGGAACACCGGUGGCGAAGGCGGGUCUCUGGGCCGAUACUGACGCUGAGGAGCGAAAGCGUGGGGAGCGAACAGGAUUAGAUACCCUGGUAGUCCACGCUGUAAACGUUGGGCGCUAGGU